AAAUUUGUUCAACUCGGUGAGCAGGCAAUAAGUGUCUACGAUUGUAAACGCGGCUCUGAACGUAGCUUGCGUAUUAGGGUUUCUGAUUAGCUUUUUGUCACCUACAUUUGAUGUCGACACAGAACCAGAGUUAUAGAGAUUUGUUUCAGCUUCUUGCCAACGAUUUAUACCAGGCGGUGGAACUCCGAUUAUAAAACGAUCUUCUUUUCCGAUCUGAAGACCGAACGAUGCUCCUCCACCGUUCAAGUCCGGUACCGAUUCUGGGAGGCCAGAAACGUCCCGGCGCGGCGGCGAACGCAUGGGAGUUGAUAUGUUUCUGCUUGAUUCCCAGCAAAAGCUCCUGCAGCGCUUCCACCAUCAAGAUAUGUGUUUUGUAUUUUUAAGUCAUGGGUUUUCUGCAAGUACUCCUCUACACAACAGCAUCACAAAUUGAGGUGUAAUCUCAAGACGAGUUUGAUGGUUCUGAAUUGAGUUUUUCCAUGAGCAUCUUAUAUUUCGCACAAGGCAUGAAAGUUUAUGUUUUCAUGAACAUCUUACUUACUCAGCUUUGUAUAAGAUAUUGAAAACAUGAUCUGUAAUUUGGUCCUCUGUGAUUCCUUGAACCAACCUAUUGGUUUUUGUUCGACCUCUGUCUUUUCCUGAGCUAAAACCUUAUUUUGGCAUUUUUUUCAGAUUUAUAGGAACUUCUGCCCGGAACAUGGAAAACCUUGACAGUACACCGAGGCUGAAAGCUAGCUUCAAUUUGUAGAAAGAACGCUGGGUAGAAACAUCUGUCUCCCAUUGCACCAACUACAUUCGGGAUACGACGGUUGAUGCUUUAAAAACCUUCGUCUGCGAAACUGGUGCCGGGAAACAUGUUCCCAGAGCUCUAUUUAUUGAUCUCGAGCCCACUGUUGCGGUUAUGGUCCACCUAACGAAUCUCGAACAUAUUAAUGAGAACCACAUGCAUUAAGGAACAUAAGGAUUUGGUAAUGAGUAAUCUGGCGAGCCCACUACCAGCACGAAGAAAGGAGCAAAAUGUGGUGGCGACGGAAUCAGAGCAGAUACACGUGUCACACAUGAUGUGUGAUCUGUUUGGAUGAUGUCGAUGUAAACAUCGUUAGGAUUCUGGUGGGAUGCAAGCGUGUGUUAGUAAAGGAUAAAAUUUUAGGGCUUAAAUAUUUGGUAUCAUGCAGUUUUGAUAUUCUUCCGUUUACUUUCGGAUUAACGAGAAAUCUUUUUCAACUCUUAUUAGUUAGUGACAAACACUCGAGUUGCUAUUUCUUUGUGGUAAUUAUUUUCUACCGUCUAGAUCAUGACCUAGCCUCAGUUUGGUCUUUCAUAUUUUUUAUCUGUAUUCUUAUAAUCUUAUAGAAAGGUUGGUGAUAUUUUUUUGAACUUUGGGAUCAAUAUAUACGUUUGCCUUUCUUAUA